rnacentral:rRNA from 1 species
UAGGGAAUAUUGGGCAAUGGGCGCAAGCCUGACCCAGCCAUUCCGCGUGGGGGAUGAAGGUUCAUAGAAUUGUAAACUCCUUUUAUUUGAGACUAAGGCGCCAGUAACUCUGGUGAUUGAAUGUAUCAGGUGAAUAAGGACCGGCUAACUACGUGCCAGCAGCCGCGGUAAUACGUAGGGUCCAAGCGUUGUCCGGAUUUACUGGGUUUAAAGGGUGCGUAGGCGGCUGCUUAAGUCGGUGAUGAAAUGCGGGGGCUCAACCUUACGCGCUGUUGCCGAAACUGGGCGGCUUGAGAUUAGAAGAGGCGGCUGGAAUGAGUGGUGUAGCGGUGAAAUGCGUAGAGAUCACUCAGAACGCCAAUUGCGAAGGCAGGUCGCUGGUCUACAUCUGACGCUGAUGCACGAAGGCAUGGGGAUCAAACAGG